GCUGAAUUAUUCACCCUUGUCUUUUGCGUACUUCUUAUUUCCUUGGUGGGUUCGCCCACCACUAGGACAAACAUAAACCUUUUGUAAUUGCAAUCAGCGUCAGUAACAAAUUAAUAACCACACCUUUCAACAACGGAUCUCUUGGUUCUGGCAUCGAUGAAGAACGCAGCGAAAUGCGAUAAGUAGUGUGAAUUGCAGAAUUCAGUGAAUCAUCGAAUCUUUGAACGCACAUUGCGCCCUUUGGUAUUCCAAAGGGCAUGCCUGUUCGAGCGUCAUUUGUACCCUCAAGCUUUGCUUGGUGUUGGGCGUCUUGUCUCUAGCUUUGCUGGAGACUCGCCUUAAAGUAAUUGGCAGCCGGCCUACUGGUUUCGGAGCGCAGCACAAGUCGCACUCUCUAUCAGCAAAGGUCUAGCAUCCAUUAAGCCUUUUUUUCAACUUUUGACCUCGGAUCAGGUAGGGAUACCCGCUGAACUUAAGCAUAUCAAUAAGCGGAGGAA
rnacentral:rRNA from 1 species